UUAACUCAAAUUUGUAUGGAUUUGCAACGUUUCCCUGCGUUCGCCGCUAGGGGCGCUAUUCCAACUGCAUACAAAUUCGAGUUA
rfam:Bombyx mori DNA, contig: Bm_scaf109_contig37201, strain: p50T/Dazao, build 2, whole genome shotgun sequence.